rnacentral:pre_miRNA from 1 species
UAAAUACUCCCUCUGUUUCAUAUUAAAUGACUUUCUAUUACAUGUAUUUAGACGUAUUUUACUAUAUAGAUACGUUCAUAUUUAGACAAAUUUGAGUCCCUUAAUAUGGGACGGAGGGAGUACGAU